rnacentral:rRNA from 1 species
GGGCCCGCACAAGCGGUGGAGCAUGUGGUUUAAUUCGAUGAUACGCGAGGAACCUUACCAGGGCUUAAAUGUUAGGUGACAGAUCUAGAAAUAGAUCCUUCUUCGGACUCAUUACAAGGUGCUGCAUGGUUGUCGUCAGCUCGUGCCGUGAGGUGUCAGGUUAAGUCCUAUAACGAGCGCAACCCCCCAUCGUUAGUUGCCAACGAGUAAUGUCGGGAACUCUAACGAAACUGCCGGUGCAAACCGUGAGGAAGGUGGGGAUGACGUCAAAUCAUCACGGCCCUUACGUCCUGGGCUACACACGUGCUACAAUGGUCGGUACAGAGAGCAGCCACUACGCGAGUAGGAGCAAAUCUUCAAAGCCGAUCUC